ensembl:lncRNA
CAGGCUUAUGUAUAGGCACCCGGGGUCCUAAAGCCGGUAGCUCGUCAACACCACUGGUUCUGGGAUUGUGUAGCAGAGUCACGGGUGCUGCGUGAAAUAAACAGGAGGGCAGACGCUGGCAGAGCCGCUGUGUUUUGAUGUACGUGUGUGGGCGUGACGCCGUGUUGUGUGCAAAAAGUGUCUGCUGGGCACUGUUACCAUAGCAGAGAGGGCAGUUAUUCUCCAGAAGCCAUCAGCCACAGUGUAGUAGCCAUCUUGAAAAGCGUUAGACCCUCGCAGCUACCCAGGGCUGCUAGUUGCUGUUCUCUUUUAAUGUGUAUUUGAUGCAUUGGUGCCGCGUAUAGUUUGUUUACUUUUUUUUGUUCCUCUAGCCUAUCGGCCUAAGUAGCUUGUGUAGGUACCACCUAUUUAAUGUGAGCCGCAGGCUAGAGUGGAUUUAUUUUGUUUGUUUUUCUUUUUUACUGUACUUCCAGUUCGUGUGUCUCCCUCCCCCCUCCACAGCUAAUAGCCUCGGUGCUUAUGAGGCCCAUUAGUACCUGACCUUGGAUAGCCGGUCUCUGUAGUUUUUCUCACUCUAGUAGCCUACAGAGAUUGCAGUGUGCAUGUAGUUUGAACUCUUAAUUGCCGUGUCACAUAUCACAGAGUGUCUUGGAUAUUGUAGUGCAUUUUCCCUGAAUCUAAAACACGUGCUAUUUAGUGUGCACAAGACCACGUGUGUUAGAGACCUGGCCUGACAUCAGUUCUCCUAGUGGCCCAGUACCGAGGUUCCCCAGUCCCCCUACUGUGUCUAUGUAUUUUUUUUUUGUAUUAUAUCUGGUGACCAACCAACGCUACUCGUGUCUACUAUUUAUUAAUAAAGACUAUUUUUAUACUUUCACCAAAAACUGGCAAUAGUGUUAUUGAGUUCCCCUUGCUCUGACAUAAUUUAGCCCACUUCAAGGGGUGGCGUAGUCAACAGUACCCGAGAGGGCGCUACACACGUGAAAAGAAUGAAAUGAUCAAACUAUACUUUACAAGUCCAGUCUGGAUCUCGGUAAGGUCACCUGAAAUAAAUAGUAGUUAGGCUUCAGAAUC